rnacentral:rRNA from 1 species
GGAAGGAGAAGUCGUAACAAGGUUUCCGUAGGUGAACAUGUGGACGGAUCAUUGUCGAGACCCACCGGCGUGCUGUGCCCAACUCCCGCGCCUCCCCCACCGUCGGCGCCGCCUUGACGGUGCGGGAGGGGAGGGGGCGGGAGGACAUGACCCCACAAUCUGCACGGGAAGCGCCACGGACAACCCAACCCGACAUGAGGGCAGCAGCACCCGCCGAGAGCCACGCGUUGGCGCUAAGGAAAGAAAUGACACAUGAGUCACAUGACUCUCGCGAACGGAUAUCUCGGCUCUCGUAUCAAUGAAGAACGUAGAAAAAUGCGAUACUUGGUGUGAAUUGCAGAAUCCCGUGAACCAUCGUGUCUUUGAACACAAGUUGCACCCGAGCCCACCUGGCCAAGGGCACGCAUGCCAGGACAUCACAAGAACGAGUUGCUUCGGCGCUCGCCCGCUGCCCGACACGAAGACUGGCCCCCGCUGCUUGGUGGCCCGAAGACCUGUGCCCGCCCUUCCCCGGUGUGGGACGGGGCGCGACGAGCGUUGGACCAGCGAAGCGCCGAGUUCCCGAGGUCGUUGUACCCCCUCCACGUAGGGGGAGUGGCCCUGUGCGCCACCAAUGGAUGAAAAGGACCGCCACAAAGGAGGAAUGACCUCCCCCAUCUGCCGGCCCUCAUACCGUGACUCUACGUUAGGCGGGGCCACUGGCUGAGUUUAAGCAUAUCAAUAAGCGGAGGAA